CAUGACACUGUGUCAUGAUGUGUGUCUGUGUCAUGGUGUGUGUUGGACACAGACACACCAUGACACAGACACACAUACACACUGACAGA